GGGGGCGCCGCUCAUUGCGCUGCCGUCCACAGGGAGCUGCCGCAGCCGCCCCCCUUGCUGUCGCCGCAGAAUGCCCCUCACAUCGCCCUGGGCCCCCAUCUCAGGUCCCCCUUCCUGGGGGUGCCCUCGGCUCUGUGCCAGACCCCAGGCUACGGCUUCCUGCCCCCCGCCCAGGCGGAGAUGUUCGCGCGGCAGCAGGAGCUCCUGCGGAAGCAGAACCUGGCCCGGUAGGUGCGGGGAGGCGGGCGGGGCCGCGCGGCCCGGGAGGCGGCUGACCCGCGUCUGCCCCCGGCCCAGGCUGGAGCUGCCCGCCGACCUCCUGCGGCAGAAGGAGCUGGAGGGCGCGCGCCCGCAGCUGCUGGCGCCCGAGGCCGCCCUGCGCCCCAACGACGGCGCCGAGGAGCUGCAGCGGCGCGGGGCCCUGCUGGUGCUGAACCACGGCGCGGCGCCACUGCUGGCCCUGCCCCCCCAGGGGCCCCCGGGCUCCGGACCCCCCACCCCGUCCCGGGACUCGGCCCGGCGAGCCCCCCGGAAAGGGGGU
rnacentral:sRNA from 1 species